CCUACGGGUGGCAGCAGUGGGGAAUAUUGCACAAUGGGGGGAACCCUGAUGCAGCGACGCCGCGUGAGUGAAGAAGUAUUUCGGUAUGUAAAGCUCUAUCAGCAGGGAAGAAAAUGACGGUACCUGACUACGAAGCCCCGGCUAACUCCGUGCCAGCAGCCGCGGUCAUACGUAGGGGGCAAGCGUUAUCCGGAUUUACUGGGUGUAAAGGGAGCGCAGACGGCUGUGCAAGUCUGGAGUGAAAGGCGGGGGCCCAACCCCCGGACUGCUCUGGAAACUGUAAAGCUGGAGUGCAGGAGAGGUAAGCGGAAUUCCUAGUGUAGCGGUGAAAUGCGUAGAUAUUAGGAGGAACACCAGUGGCGAAGGCGGCUUACUGGACUGCAACUGACGUUGAGGCUCGAAAGCGUGGGGAGCAAACAGGAUUAGAUACCCUUGUAGUC
rnacentral:rRNA from 1 species